rnacentral:Y_RNA from 1 species
GGUUAGUCCGAGUACAAUGGUGUUUAUAACUAAUUGAUCACAACCAGUUACAGAUUCCUUUGUUCCUUCUCCACUCCCACUGCUUCACUUGACCAGACUUAA